rnacentral:tRNA from 1 species
GGCCCCUUCGUCUAAUGGUUAGGACACCAGGUUUUCAUCCUGUAAACAGGAGUUCGAUUCUCCUAGGGGCUA